CCUACGGGGGGCAGCAGUGGGGAAUAUUGGACAAUGGGGGCAACCCUGAUCCAGCCAUGCCGCGUGUGUGAAGAAGGCCCUCGGGUUGUAAAGCACUUUCAGUGAGGAAGAACGCCUGGUGGUUAAUACCCAUCAGGAAAGACAUCACUCACAGAAGAAGCACCGGCUAACUCCGUGCCAGCAGCCGCGGUAAUACGGAGGGUGCGAGCGUUAAUCGGAAUUACUGGGCGUAAAGCGCGCGUAGGUGGCUUGAUAAGCCGGUUGUGAAAGCCCCGGGCUCAACCUGGGAACGGCAUCCGGAACUGUCAAGCUAGAGUGCAGGAGAGGAAGGUAGAAUUCCCGGUGUAGCGGUGAAAUGCGUAGAGAUCGGGAGGAAUACCAGUGGCGAAGGCGGCCUUCUGGACUGCCACUGACACUGAGGUGCGAAAGCGUGGGUAGCAAACAGGAUUAGAUACCCCUGUAGUC
rnacentral:rRNA from 1 species